GGAAUAUUGGACAAUGGGCGCAAGCCUGAUCCAGCCAUGCCGCGUGGGUGAUGAAGGCCCUAGGGUUGUAAAGCCCUUUCGGCGGGGAAGAUAAUGACGGUACCCGCCGAAGAAGCCCCGGCUAACUUCGUGCCAGCAGCCGCGGUAAUACGAAGGGGGCUAGCGUUGCUCGGAAUCACUGGGCGUAAAGCGUACGUAGGCGGACUUUUAAGUCGGUGGUGAAAUCCUGGAGCUCAACUCCAGAACUGCCUCCGAUACUGGAAGUCUUGGAGUCCGGGAGAGGUGAGUGGAACUGCGAGUGUAGAGGUGAAAUUCGUAGAUAUUCGCAAGAACACCAGUGGCGAAGGCGGCUCACUGGCCCGGUACUGACGCUGAGGUGCGAAAGCGUGGGGAGCAAA
rnacentral:rRNA from 1 species